GGUGUCACUGCUGGGGCUGGAGCUGCUCCCCAGCCCCCGGCUCCCAGCAGCAGCCUCACCACCAGCGCCGGCCACAGCCUUGCCCACGCAUUUCCUCUGCCUGCAUCUCUGCUGUGCUCCCUACCGCUGUCGGGCACACUCACACAGCCAAAGCAUGCACGCCUGUGCCCCUGGCUCACGUUCUGCAGCUCUGCACAGAGUGGGGCUAGGGCUCUUUGCCUAAGGGAUUACUUCCUUCACACUAGCUGGUCCCAGCACUACAGGCAGCAUCCUUGCAAGGGCUGAGUUGGAGGGGAAGUGGAGAAAACCCACACGUUUUUUCCAGUGCCACACCCCAGCUGCACGAGGCUGUCUUACUACACACAGUGCGACUAAACACGGGCUGCUGAAACAUGUGGGGGGACAAAACGUGUGACGUACCUGGCAAGAGAUCAGAACAAGGUAGAAGAAGAUCCUCGAAACCGCAGCCGUUCCUUGUCACUUUGCUCUGAUCUUCCGCGAGCAAAAGCUGCACCAAGGGAGCAGGCGGAGGGUGGGCAGGGGAGGGAGAAAGAGCAGGUCAGUGAGCUUGCACAAUUGAGCAAAGGGAAGAACCAGGGAAGAACCCUGGCACAAAUGCCACCUUGAUGGAUGGCUUUGGAAUGGAUGGCCCGGGGGAAAAUGGCCUCUGACGGUCAAGACUAAACAAUAUGAUCCUAGGAGCUCUGCCAGCCAGCAGUCCUCAAGCCCUCGCUGCCCACCCG
ensembl:lncRNA